rnacentral:rRNA from 1 species
AUUGAACGCUGGCGGCAGGCCUAACACAUGCAAGUCGAGCGGAUGAAGGGAGCUUGCUCCUGGAUUCAGCGGCGGACGGGUGAGUAAUGCCUAGGAAUCUGCCUGGUAGUGGGGGAUAACGUCCGGAAACGGGCGCUAAUACCGCAUACGUCCUGAGGGAGAAAGUGGGGGAUCUUCGGACCUCACGCUAUCAGAUGAGCCUAGGUCGGAUUAGCUAGUUGGUGGGGUAAAGGCCUACCAAGGCGACGAUCCGUAACUGGUCUGAGAGGAUGAUCAGUCACACUGGAACUGAGACACGGUCCAGACUCCUACGGGAGGCAGCAGUGGGGAAUAUUGGACGAUGGGCGAAAGCCUGAUCCAGCCAUGCCGCGUGUGUGAAGAAGGUCUUCGGAUUGUAAAGCACUUUAAGUUGGGAGGAAGGGCAGUACGUUAAUACCUUGCUGUUUUGACGUUACCAACAGAAUAAGCACCGGCUAACUUCGUG